GACGAACGCUGGCGGCGUGCUUAACACAUGCAAGUCGAACGGAAAGGCCUCUUUCGGGGGGUACUCGAGUGGCGAACGGGUGAGUAACACGUGAGUAACCUGCCCUUGACUUUGGGAUAACUUCAGGAAACUGGGGCUAAUACCGGAUAGGAGCUCCUGCUGCAUGGUGGGGGUUGGAAAGUUUCGGCGGUUGGGGGUGGACUCGCGGCUUAUCAGCUUGUGGUUGGGGUAGUGGCUUACCAAGGCUUUGACGGGUAGCCGGCCUGAGAGGGUGACAGGCGACAUUGGGACUGAGAGACGGCCCAGACUCCUACGGGAGGCAGCAGUGGGGAAUAUUGCACAAUGGGUGGAAGCCUGAUGCAGCAACGCCGCGUGCGGGAUGACGGCCUUCGGGUUGUAAACCGCUUUCGCUCAUGACGAAGCGUUGUGUGACGGUAGUGGGUAAAGAGGCACCGGCUAACUACGUG
rnacentral:rRNA from 1 species